GUGAUGGGACACAAGUAGGGGAUUUUAUUUAUUUUGUAUUCAUUGCCAUGCAUGUCUUAUAGUGUUUUAUUGCUGUGGAUUUUAAUUGCAUGUUUUUACAUUUUAGAAUUUGAUUGUGUUUUUAAUUGCAUGUUUUUACAUUUUAGAAUUUGAUUGUCUUUUUAAUUGCAUGUUUUUACUCCUUGUGGACUUUGCUGGUAUUUUAAGACGUUGCCCCUUUUUAGCUUGUUGCCCCUAACAACCGAAGUGCCCAAUCAAACGACACCUGAAGUUAGACGCACCUGUGGAGCAUUAGGACUGCACCCAUUUAAAAGAGAACAGGCAGGAUCGACGAGGAGGGAAGCGACAGCAGAGCGAUCGGGGAAGAAUCGACAGGCUUUGCCAAGAGCGACCGGGUGGACGCACGCAGGCUGGGAAGGAACCCCCGGACUACACAGCAGACCACGCAGGCCACCGGAGCGAACCCCAAGGAGCCCACAACACGCAGGGGCAGAAGAAACUCUGCCUCCGAAGGGGCGAUUGGGACCCAGAGACCUACAACGACCCCCGGGAGCGACCAAGAGGCGGAGCGAGACGGGACGGGUAUGGCCACGUAGGUCCCGCGAGUGACCGGCGACUGGCGAGGAGAGUGGGCGUACCCAAUACUUCGACGCGGAACUAAAGCAGGGCCAGGGGAAACCCUGCCUUGCGUGUAAGUGUGGCGUCAGCCCGGAGAGCAUCUCCGUAGUUUUAGAAGAUUUUAUCCCCGUGGCCUGCCUCCGUUUUAAUUAUGUGUGCAGGAGGACGCCGUGGAAGUGGGUGGAGCCAGGACGCUGACCCACUACGCCUGUCGCGGCUGUACCCACAUCAUAAAACUGGUUACCAAAUGGUAUUUUUAGUAUUGACAACUGGACAGUUGAAUGUGUAUUGUAAUAAAGUGCGAACAAGCAUAA